UCCAGACUCCUACGGGAGGCAGCAGUGGGGAAUAUUGCACAAUGGGGGAAACCCUGAUGCAGCGACGCCGCGUGAGCGAAGAAGUACCUCGGUAUGUAAAGCUCUCUCAGCAGGGAAGAAGAUGACGGUACCUGACCAAGAAGCUCCGGCUAAAUACGUGCCAGCAGCCGCGGUAAUACGUAUGGAGCAAGCGUUAUCCGGAUUUACUGGGUGUAAAGGGAGCGCAGGCGGCCUUGCAAGUCUGGAGUGAAAGCCCGGGGCCCAACCCCGGAACUGCUCUGGAAACUGUGCGGCUAGAGUACUGGAGGGGCAGGCGGAAUUCCUAGUGUAGCGGUGAAAUGCGUAGAUAUUAGGAGGAACACCAGUGGCGAAGGCGGCCUGCUGGACAGUAACUGACGUUGAGGCUCGAAAGCGUGGGGAGCAAACAGGAUUAGAUACCCUAGUA
rnacentral:rRNA from 1 species